CACGGGGGUUGCGAGCGUUGUCCGGAAUUACUAGGCGUAAAGGGCAGGUAGGCGGAUCUACGAGUUUUUUGUUAAAGGCUACGGCUCAACUGUAGUAGAGCAGGAGAUACUGUAGGUCUGGAAUGCGGUAGGGGAAGACAGAAUUCCUGGUGUAGCGGUGGAAUGCGCAGAGAUCAGGAGGAAUACCGAAGGCGAAGGCAGUCUUCUAGGCCGUAAUUGACGCUUAACUGCGAAGGUGUGGGGAUCAAACAGGAUUAGAUACCCUGGUAGUCCACACAGUAAACGAUAAUCACUAGAUGUCGGGUUCUAGAUGGAUUCGGUGUCGGAGCAAACGCGAUAAGUGAUUCGCCUGGGGAGUACGAUCGCAAGGUUGAA
rnacentral:rRNA from 1 species